rnacentral:tmRNA from 1 species
GGGGGCGCGAGGCGUCGACAGGAGAAGGCCUACAGAAUAGCAGGUCGAGGUGCCAUCUACCUCGUUAAACAGGUGGCAAAAGACAACUGCCGAAGCAGUUCCAAUUGCAGCCUAAUUAGGGUUGCACAUCCAGCCUGACCUCCCCCUGAUGGGUCAGGACUGGGUGCCGAAAAGUCAGGGUGCACCGCACCUGAUGUCGAUAGGGGCGGCUAAGAGUAAUCGACUGGCUUGACUGUCAGCGGUCAGCGGAUGAUAGUCAGGCGAGAGCUAGCAGCUGACUAAGCCUGUAGGAGAUUCUGGCAACCUUCUUCUGGACGGGGAGUUCGACUCUCCCCCGCCUCCACCA